UUUGACCUCAAAUCAGGUAGGAUUACCCGCUGAACUUAAGCAUAUCAAUAAGCGGAGGAAAAGAAACCAACAGGGAUUGCCUUAGUAACGGCGAGUGAAGCGGCAAAAGCUCAAAUUUGAAAUCUGGCACCUUCGGUGUCCGAGUUGUAAUUUGAAGAAGGUAACUUUGGAGUUGGCUCUUGUCUAUGUUCCUUGGAACAGGACGUCACAGAGGGUGAGAAUCCCGUGCGAUGAGAUGCCCAAUUCUAUGUAAAGUGCUUUCGAAGAGUCGAGUUGUUUGGGAAUGCAGCUCUAAGUGGGUGGUAAAUUCCAUCUAAAGCUAAAUAUUGGCGAGAGACCGAUAGCGAACAAGUACAGUGAUGGAAAGAUGAAAAGAACUUUGAAAAGAGAGUGAAAAAGUACGUGAAAUUGUUGAAAGGGAAGGGCUUGAGAUCAGACUUGGUAUUUUGCGAUCCUUUCCUUCUUGGUUGGGUUCCUCGCAGCUUACUGGGCCAGCAUCGGUUUGGAUGGUAGGAUAAUGACUAAGGAAUGUGGCUCUACUUCG
rnacentral:rRNA from 1 species